rnacentral:lncRNA from 1 species
AUUUUGUUGCAGGAAUAUACAGUAUUAACCAGUAACUAUAUUCUAUUAUUUGCUAUGAAAUUAAAUGUCUACAUUUAAUAUCAGCUAUCAUUAGAUACCAGGGAUGAUUUGUUAUAAAAGGCAGGGUCAUCUCAACAUACAAUCAAGUGGAGUACCCACUCAGAGUGUGGUAUAUUUUGUGUUUUAUUAUUAUUGUUGUAAGUCACAAUUAUUUUUUAUACAUAAUUUAGAUGGUGAAUCCAUCACCAUCAAAACUGACAACUUGAAGAGGGUGCAACAAAAAUUUUUGCUCAGGGCAUUAAAAGCUCUAGAGGCAAUAUUGAUA